UGUGUCCUUCGCCGGGGAGGCUAUCCCAUAACACCUUAUGGCACAGAACAUUUAAAAAAAAAAAAGAAAACACAUGACUUCGUGAAAUGGACCAAAGUGGGCACCUAAUCACGUUUCACUUCAUUGUAUUGACUUAGCAGGAGAAAAGUCCUGCCUGACUCAUUUUGGGGGUUGAAGGAAAUCCCAACCUGACAUCGUGCCGAUGUAAAGAACUUAUCCUGGUGGAUGAACCUUCCAUCCACCAGGAUAAUCAUUAUAUCCUAGGAUAUUAUUCAGGAGUGUGCAACAUUGCAAUGUUAGAUAGAAAUAGAUUCACACAUGUUGUUGUUUAUCAUGCAGAUUUGUCAGGACAUCGUAAUUUAUGAAGCUCGUUCUAAAAUGCAGAUGUGAUAUCUGUGCCAGGGGAUUGCGCUGUGUGCAAGUCUUCAAUUUAGACUACAAUUAGUUGAAUUAGGUGUUAGCGAAGGGCUGGAACAAAACCUGUAAUAUCCUGUCCUGUGUAUAAAAAAAACCUGUGGCUGUCAUGACUAAAUUUGCCCUCAUGUACUGAACAAGUUUAUGAAUGUUGGAGGUUAAUCUUGAGAUGUCCCUCACGUGGGAAUGACUUAUUUUGUACAAUAUACUGUGUUUUAAGGACUCAUGCACAGAUACAGAACCCUCCCCCCCUAAAUGUUACCAUAUAUUCCAAAUUAAAAGUGUUGAUGUCUCCA